ensembl:lncRNA
UUCUGCGUGAGUUUGUUGUGAUUGGAAGGACUUUAAAGUUUGGUUGGGUAUGAUCCUCAGUCGUUUAGUGCAUGAUGGCCAGUUUUCCUCUGUGACUAUGUACAAACGCGAGGGCUGUACUCACUAUUGGGCGGAGUCAUUGAGCUGGUACUCGCGGGCACGGCUGAAGCACUCCUGGAUGCCUGAGUCAGACCACAGGCGGAUCAUGGCGGACAACAGCUCUGGAGAGUAGGGCUCGGUAUCUUCCAUACGGCUCACAACAUCACAGACCAUCUUAGCAUCAGCCUGUUAAAAGAAAACACACAGAGAACAUCCAUCAGUGUGAUGAGCUCAAUACUCCUCAGGAUUGUUGACAAU